CUCCACUGUUAUUUACUUGAUCAGCGAUGGCUCACGCUUCAUGACAGGCACCACUGUCUUGGUGGAUGGAGCGCAGUCCCUUACGCGACCCCGUCUCAAAUCCUACAUGUGAUCAAAACAGAGUAUUAUAAUUCUAUGUUGUGUGUGUUUACUGUAAAAAGUGAACAUGAAUCAAGUUUGAAUAACUUUGGAGGGAUGAAUAAUCCAUCCAUCGAAGCAAAGCAAUGAUUAUAUACUUUUGACAAAUAUAGAAGAAAGCAAAUAGCCAAAAUAGGCAACAAUCUCAACAUGAUUCGAGCCCACUGUUUAUUUGAACAAUCAACUUUGGUAGGUGAACCUCAAAUACACGUGAUAGGGAUAUUAUCUUCUUAACCUUGCUAUAUACCAAAUUGUUAAGCAAAUAAGAAAAGAAUGAUUACCCUCAGAGAUCUAGAUGCUUGAAAUUUGAAUCCAUUGCACCAAAAGUUGAAAGUCCAAGGAGUUGCAUAUAUAUAUAUAUAUAAUAAUGUAAAUGAGAAUGGUGAAGCCGCCACACCUUUUUUACUAAUUCCACCAAACUCUUUUCUUUGAGAUGGAUCCGCUAAUGUAGCCAUUUUCAAUAUAUCUCACUUUCUCUGGCAUCUUCGCUGCCGUCUACGUCU
rnacentral:lncRNA from 1 species